UGACCUUCUAGCGAUACAAGCAUUUCAAUAUUUGGUUUGUUCCUGUGAGAUAGUUGGAUGAAAAUUUGCAGAAUCUCUCCACUGUUAAUGAAACAAGACUCAAAACACUAGAGAAAUGGACAGAAGAAAUGCUGCUUACAUCCUGGUCUUGCCCUGGUCCAAAUAAUGUCAACAUCAUCACAGAUUAAUCUUAUAGGUAUAGAUCAAUGUGAAAUCAAGUAAGUGGACACUUCUCAAGUGUAUCAAAGUUUACCUGUAAAGUUUAGAACAACGAGUCUAUAUUAACAAAUAUUCUGCAUUCUCAAG
rnacentral:lncRNA from 1 species